AGAGUUUGAUCAUGGCUCAGUCUGAACGCUGGCGGCGUGCCUAAUGCAUGCAAGUCGAGCGACGCAUGCCGGAGGGGUAACCCACCGACAUGACGGAGCGGCGAACGGGUGAGUAACACGUGAGCAACCUGCCCCACAGACCGGGAUAGCCCAGGGAAACCUGGAUUAAUACCGGAUAUCCUCGGAUGACCUCAUGGUCGAUCGAGGAAAUGCCUUUGUGCUGUGGGAUGGGCUCGCGGCUUAUCAGCUAGUUGGUGGGGUAACGGCCUACCAAGGCAUCGACGAGUAGCUGGUCUGAGAGGACGAUCAGCCACACUGGGACUGAGACACGGCCCAGACUCCUACGGGAGGCAGCAGCAGGGAAUCUUGCGCAAUGGGCGAAAGCCUGACGCAGCAACGCCGCGUGGGGGAUGAAGGCCUUCGGGUUGUAAACCCCUUUCAGGAGGGAAGAAAUUGACGGUACCUCCAAAAGAAGCACCGGCCAACUACGUGCCAGCAGCCGCGGUAAUACGUAGGGUGCGAGCGUUAUCCGGAAUCAUUGGGCGUAAAGAGCUCGUAGGCGGUUCAGCAAGUCGGCUGUGAAAGUCCGAGGCUCAACCUCGGAAUUGCAGUCGAUACUGCUGUGACUCGAGUCCGGUAGAGGAGAACGGAAUUCCCGGUGUAGCGGUGAAAUGCGCAGAUAUCGGGAGGAACACCAGUA
rnacentral:rRNA from 1 species